rnacentral:rRNA from 1 species
GAUGAACGCUGGCGGCGUGCCUAAUACAUGCAAGUCGAGCGAACGGACGAGAAGCUUGCUUCUCUGAUGUUAGCGGCGGACGGGUGAGUAACACGUGGAUAACCUACCUAUAAGACUGGGAUAACUUCGGGAAACCGGAGCUAAUACCGGAUAAUAUUUCGAACCGCAUGGUUCAAAAGUGAAAGACGGUCUUGCUGUCACUUAUAGAUGGAUCCGCGCUGCAUUAGCUAGUUGGUAAGGUAACGGCUUACCAAGGCAACGAUGCAUAGCCGACCUGAGAGGGUGAUCGGCCACACUGGAACUGAGACACGGUCCAGACUCCUACGGGAGGCAGCAGUAGGGAAUCUUCCGCAAUGGGCGAAAGCCUGACGGAGCAACGCCGCGUGAGUGAUGAAGGUCUUCGGAUCGUAAAACUCUGUUAUUAGGGAAGAACAUAUGUGUAAGUAACUGUGCACAUCUUGACGGUACCUAAUCAGAAAGCCACGGCUAACUACGUG